CCUCUUCCUCUUCACCCAGAGACCCACAUCCAUCACUAGGAGUCUAUGAAGAGUCAAAAGGGACUCUCCCGGAAUAACCUUGCAGUCCUUGCACAUACCCCGAUCGCUCCUUCUGAGGAGGAGGUAAUCAAUUUGAGUCCUCGACGCCGAACUCUUGAAGGUGACAAAAUGCUCCUCCCUCUUCUAAAAUGCCGAGUUC
rnacentral:lncRNA from 1 species